rnacentral:rRNA from 1 species
GAUGAACGCUGGCGGCGUGCCUAAUACAUGCAAGUCGAGCGAACGGACGAUAAGCUCGCUUCUCUGCUGUUAGCGGCUGACGGGUGAGUAACACGUGGAUAACCUUCCUCUAAUACUUGGAUAACUUCGUGAAACCGCAUCUAAUACCACCUAAUAUUUUGUACCGCAUGGUUCAAAAGUGAAUGACGGUCUUGCUGUCUCUUUUAGCUGGAUCCGCGCUGCAUUAGCUAGUUGGUAAGGUAACGGCUGACCAAGGCAACGAUGCAUAGCCGACCUGAGAGGGUGAUCGGCCACACUGGAACUGAGACACGGUCCAGACUCCUACGGGAGGCAGCAGUAGGGAAUAUUCCACAAUGGGCGAAAGCCUGACGGAGCAACGCCGCGUGAGUGAUGAAGGUCUUCGGAUCGUAAAACUCUGUUAUUAGGGAAGAACAGAUGUGUAAGUAACUGUGGACAUCUUGACGGUACCUAAUCAGAAAGCAACGGCUAACUACGUG